ACUCCUACGGGAGGCAGCAGUGGGGAAUAUUGGACAAUGGGGGCAACCCUGAUCCAGCCAUGCCGCGUGAGUGAUGAAGGCCUUAGGGUUGUAAAACUCUUUUGUCCGGGAAGAUAAUGACUGUACCGGAAGAAUAAGCCCCGGCUAACUUCGUGCCAGCAGCCGCGGUAAU
rnacentral:rRNA from 1 species